AGCGAACGCUGGCGGCAGGCCUAACACAUGCAAGUCGAACGAACCUUUCGGGGUUAGUGGCGGACGGGUGAGUAACACGUGGGAACGUGCCUUUAGGUUCGGAAUAACUCAGGGAAACUUGUGCUAAUACCGAAUGUGCCCUUCGGGGGAAAGAUUUAUCGCCUUUAGAGCGGCCCGCGUCUGAUUAGCUAGUUGGUUGAGGUAAUGGCUCACCAAGGCGACGAUCAGUAGCUGGUCUGAGAGGAUGAUCAGCCACAUUGGGACUGAGACACGGCCCAAACUCCUACGGGAGGCAGCAGUGGGGAAUCUUGCGCAGUGGGCGAAAGCCUGACGCAGCCAUGACGCGUGAAUGAUGAAGGUCUUAGGAUUGUAAAAUUCUUUCACCGGGGACGAUAAUGACGGUACCCGGAGAAGAAGCCCCGGCUAACUUCGUG
rnacentral:rRNA from 1 species